rnacentral:rRNA from 1 species
GAUGAACGCUAGCGAUAGGCUUAACACAUGCAAGUCGAGGGGUAACGUGUUGGAAGCUUGCUUCCGAUGACGACGACCGGCGGAUGGGUGCGUAACGCGUAUGCAACUUGCCUCACAGAGGAGAAUAACCCGGAGAAAUCCGGACUAAUGCUCCAUACACUCUUUAGCACGCCUGUGCGUAAGAGGAAAGAUUUAUCGCUGUGAGAUAGGCAUGCGUCCUAUUAGGUAGUUGGUGAGGUAACGGCUCACCAAGCCAACGAUAGGUAGGGGUGCUGAGAGGCAGAUCCCCCACAUUGGAACUGAGACACGGUCCAAACUCCUACGGGAGGCAGCAGUGAGGAAUAUUGGUCAAUGGGCGAGAGCCUGAACCAGCCAAGUAGCGUGCAGGAUGACGGCCCUAUGGGUUGUAAACUGCUUUUAUGUGGGGAUAAAGUGCGUGACGUGUCAUGCAUUGCAGGUACCACAUGAAUAAGGACCGGCUAAUUCCGUGCCAGCCGCCGCGGUA